CAAACCAUGUUAGCCAGCCACUUAAGUAGCUCUGAAUGAUUCACUAGCUUUGGUACUUUUUAUUGCCUGCUGUUAAAACUCUGAGCUGUUUGUGUACUGACAGAAUGGGGUUACUGAGCCAUGAUCAACGCUGGAGCCGGAAUGGCAUCAUUGCUUGAGCACAGAUGCAAGAACUGAGGUGUUGGUGGAUGUUGCAGCUGAAGGGUAUUCCAAGGAGUAGGUGCAAAUUGCCUGCCAUGGCUUCAUGAAUCAGAUUCAACAGCAACAGUUUUGACUACA